rnacentral:rRNA from 1 species
AUUGAACGCUGGCGGUAUGCUUAACACAUGCAAGUCGAACGAGUAGCUACUUCGGUAGCGAGAGUGGCGGACGGGUGAGUAACGCGUAGGAAUCUGCCUGUUAGUGGGGGACAACGUGGGGAAACUCACGCUAAUACCGCAUACGCCCUACGGGGGAAAGGAGGGGAUCUUCGGACCUUUCGUCUAACAGAUGAGCCUGCGUUAGAUUAGCUAGUUGGUGGGGUAAAGGCCUACCAAGGCGACGAUCUAUAGCUGUUCUGAGAGGAAGAUCAGCCACACUGGGACUGAGACACGGCCCAGACUCCUACGGGAGGCAGCAGUGGGGAAUAUUGGACAAUGGGCGCAAGCCUGAUCCAGCAAUACCGCGUGUGUGAAGAAGGCCCUAGGGUUGUAAAGCACUUUCAAUGGGGAGGAAAAAGAAGUAGGCAAGUACCCUGCUUAUUGACAUUACCCAUACAAGAAGCACCGGCUAACUCCGUGCCAGCAGCCGCGGUAAAGUCACA